AGGCUCAAGAUCUGCAGUUGGCAAGCUGAAGACCCAGGAUAGCUGAUGAUGCAGUUCUAGCCUGAGUCUGAAGGCCUGAGAACCAAGAGAACAGACGGUGAAAGUCCCAGUCUGAAUGCCGCCUGGCUCAAGACUCAAAAAGAGCUGAUGUUUCAGUUUAAGUCUGCAAGUAGGAAAAGUCUAAUGACCCAGCUCAGUCAGGCAGAAGGAGUUCCUUCUAUUUCCCAGGAAGAUUAAAGAACAAGGAGAUGGCUGGCUAUUUAAGAAGGAAAGGCAAAGGCUGCAGAAAUUGAGCCUAACGGCUUAUCAGAUGGGACGGAUGAUUCUUUAAGGUUAAAAGAACUACUCAUUUUCCCCAAUAUCUGUCUUUGCCAUCUUCCUAUCUAAUGAACCUUUCACUUUUUAGCUGGGGACAUAGCUUUCUGGUAUGAGAACUACACUGCUCAACCUUCCAUUCAGAGUCUCACUCUGUCGCCCAGGCUGGAGUGCAAUGGCACAAUCUCGGCUCACUGCAACCUCCGCCUCCUG